rnacentral:rRNA from 1 species
UGGGGAAUAUUGCACAAUGGGCGCAAGCCUGAUGCAGCCAUGCCGCGUGUGUGAAGAAGGCCUUCGGGUUGUAAAGCACUUUCAGCGAGGAGGAAGGUGGUGAGCUUAAUACGCUCAUCAAUUGACGUUACUCGCAGAAGAAGCACCGGCUAACUCCGUGCCAGCAGCCGCGGUAAUACGGAGGGUGCAAGCGUUAAUCGGAAUUACUGGGCGUAAAGCGCACGCAGGCGGUUUGUUAAGUCAGAUGUGAAAUCCCCCGGGCUCAACCUGGGAACUGCAUUUGAAACUGGCAAGCUAGAGUCUCGUAGAGGGGGGUAGAAUUCCAGGUGUAGCGGUGAAAUGCGUAGAGAUCUGGAGGAAUACCGGUGGCGAAGGCGGCCCCCCUGGACGAAGACUGACGCUCAGGUGCG